GGGUGCACGUAAUCAUUUAAUCGUGAACCGCGAAUGGCUCAUUAUAACAGCUAUAAUUUACUUGAUCUUGACACAAUCCUACUUGGAUAACUGUGGUAAUUCUAGAGCUAAUACAUGCAUUAAAGCUCUGACCUCACGGGAAGAGUGCAUUUAUUAGAACAAAACCAAGCGGCUUCGGCUGUUUCUGGUUGACUCAUAGUAACUGAGCUGAUCGCAUGGUCUUGCACCGGCGACGUGUCUUUCAAGUAUCUGCCGUAUCAACUUUCGAUGGUAGUGUAUCUGACUACCAUGGUGAUCACGCGUAACGGAGAAUAAGGGUUCGGCUCCGGAGAGUUCGCCUGAGAAAUCGCGAACACAUCUAAGGAAGGCAGCAGGCGCGAAAAUUACCCACUCUCAGCACGAGGAGGUAGUGACGAAAAAUAACGAGACCGUUCUCUUAUGAGGCCGGUCAUCGGAAUGGGUACAAUUUAAACCCUUUAACGAGUAUCUAUGAGAGGGCAAGUCUGGUGCCAGCAGCCGCGGUAAUUCCAGCUCUCAAAGUGCAUAGAAUUAUUGCUGCGGUUAAAAAGCUCGUAGUUGGAUCUGUGCCAUAGGACGUGGUCCACCUUCGGGUGCGUACUACGCUCCUAGGCUUUUUGCUGGUUUUCCCGUCGUAGCCUUCACUGGUUGCGGCGGGUGGCUGGCGAGUUUACUUUGAGAAAAUCAGAGUGCUCAAUACAGGCGUAUCGCUUGAAUGAUUGUGCAUGGAAUAAUAGAAAAGGAUUUCGGUCCUCUUUUAUUGGUUUUGUGGACUGAGAUAAUGGUUAACAGGGACAAACGGGGGCAUUCGUAUCUCUGCGUGAGAGGUGAAAUUCUUGGACCGUAGAGAGACGCCCUACUGCGAAGCUGUGCCCAAAGGGGAUAAGA
rnacentral:rRNA from 1 species